AAACAGAAGAAGAACAAGUAGGAGGAGGAGGAGUAAGAGUAGGAGGAUUAAAAGAAAAAACCCCAGGACUUUCCAACUUAGCAUCCUACCCUAGAGCGAAUCCUCACUGCCAAGUAGAAAGCAGCUUGCUUCAUGGAAAUCCUACCAACCUCUGAUGUCGUCUCUGUUUCAGGUCUACAGUGCCUUUCUCCCCUCUUUAAUGCCUAUAAUGCUUCCAUUUUUUUUUAUUCCCUAAUGAAGAAUCGGCAGUGAGAUAUGCCAGGACUGCCUUUUCCCACAGGCAAUGCCAAUCUCUCGCUAAUAAAACAAAAUUAAAUUAAAAACAGAAUGUUGU
rnacentral:lncRNA from 1 species